GGAGUGCAGUGGUGCUGAGGCAGGAGAAUGGGCUCUGGAGGCAGGGUACCUAAGACUGAUUUGCACUGAUUUCCUAAAGCUGAAUCAAAAGGGAAACCACACCUCUCCACACCCAAAUACAAAGGCAGAGUUCAAAUCAGCAAUUUCCCACUGACAAAGUAUUAAGGUGAGAGGAAGGAAGGACAAUGAUCAAAGCCCAAAAGUUUCCUUCUUCUUGGCCUGGCUCCUGUGGCAUUUACAUAACUAGCUUUCUCUCUGGGGUAAUCUCACUAAACUACUUUCCAAAUUGCUUUGCAGAGCAGCAAACAUAAAUAUUAACUUCAAGGUUGGAAAGCGCUGCUUUUUAAUAAAAAGAGAGAAUUUAAUGAGAUGCAGAAAUAUGAACUUAGCUCCUCCAUCAAUGCCACCUUUGCUUCUUGAUAUGCUGCCCACAUAUGCCCCGUGCCAGGGCCGUGCAUACAUUUUAAAUGUGGAAAAUAAUUAUGAAAAUCAGAUUACAUACAGCUGCCCCUGUUAAAGAAAACCAUUUGGUUUGCUUUUGAACUGUGGCUUCCAAAGAGGUCAGUUCCAUAUACUCUUAAUUAAGGACAAGGAGCAAACAUUUACUGAGCUCGUGCUGUACGUGCUCUGUGCCCCUGGCUGGGCCCCACACUGUGUGGUCUCGGUCAACCUGCAUUACCCACACACUUGCCAUGGAGAACCUGGGCCUGCAGAAGGAGGCACUGGAGUCCAAUGUAUUUGAACAAACAGAAAUGCUGUUU